UACGUAGGGUGCGAGCGUUAAUCGGAAUUACUGGGCGUAAAGGGCGCGUAGGCUGUGCUGUAAGUCAGGCGUGAAAGCCCCGGGCUCAACCUGGGAAUUGCGCUUGAUACUGCGGCGCUGGAAGGUGGGAGAGGAUGGCGGAAUUCCCAGUGUAGAGGUGAAAUUCGUAGAUAUUAGGAAGAACACCAGUGGCGAAGGCGGCUCACUGGUCCGGUACUGACGCUGAGGUGCGAAAGCGUGGGGAGCAAACAGG
rnacentral:rRNA from 1 species